UAGGGGAGCAAAUCACUAAGGCUAGCACACAGCAGAUAUUACACCUUGUGUUGGCAAUUCUCUCUCUCCAUUCCUCUGACAAGAAGUCUCCACGUUCCAGCUAAAAGGAAAAAAAAAUACAAUUACUUCACACAAAAGUCCCUCUAGGAACUAAUGAUCAUCAACCUGGGAUUACAGUUCAGGCUUGUUGGUCAGAGACAAGACAGGAUGGCACAUGUUCUUAUGUUCUAGAUGUUGUGGUCAAAAAUGACCAGAUUUACAAAGAUAAAUGACUGGUACUAGAGAGUGCAUUAAAUGACAGUCAAUGAAGGUAUACUAGCGCCAAAGAGGCCAAAUGUACGCUUCUUGUGGCCUCACUUUGUUGGAUGGAAUCCUACGUAAAUGCUUAGCAGUGCCAGGAGCAUUUUCAGGUCCUGUUCAGACUCCUUGCCUCAGAAGAAGGGAGAAGUGAUAAGCAGCAAGAAACCACAAGGAGCUGCAAUGGGAGCUGCAGGGGCUGGGGCCUCCGCCCACCAAGGACACGCAGGGCCUCCGCCCACCAAGGACACGCAGGGCCUCCGCCCACCAAGGACACGCAGGGCCUCCGCCCACCAAGGACACGCAGGGCCUCCGCCCACCAAGGACACGCAGGGCUCUGUGACACACUCCCGACUCAUACAGCAGGAUAAUUGACAACCAGGAGUCGGCAUAGAGUCUUGCUUGUCCUGCCCUCACUUCCUGUAUUUGGUCUCCUAAAAAAAGACACAGGCAAUAGAUGCAGGGACAGCAUUUUUUUUCACC